rnacentral:tRNA from 1 species
GUUCUGGUAGCUCAGCUGGUUAGAGCAAAGGACUGAAAAUCCUUUUUUGCUUGUUUCAGUGGGAAGAGCAAGG